ACACUCCUGCGGGAGGCAGCAGUGGGGAAUAUUGGACAAUGGGCGCAAGCCUGAUCCAGCCAUGCCGCGUGAGUGAUGAAGGCCCUAGGGUUGUAAAGCUCUUUCACCGGUGAAGAUAAUGACGGUAACCGGAGAAGAAGCCCCGGCUAACUUCGUGCCAGCAGCCGCGGUAAUACGAAGGGGGCUAGCGUUGUUCGGAUUUACUGGGCGUAAAGCGCACGUAGGCGGACUAUUAAGUCAGGGGUGAAAUCCCGGGGCUCAACCCCGGAGCUGCCUUUGAUACUGGUAGUCUUGAGUUCGAGAGAGGUGAGUGGAAUUCCGAGUGUAGAGGUGAAAUUCGUAGAUAUUCGGAGGAACACCAGUGGCGAAGGCGGCUCACUGGCUCGAUACUGACGCUGAGGUGCGAAAGCGUGGGGAGCAAACAGGAUUAGAUACCCGUGUAGUCCC
rnacentral:rRNA from 1 species